AUUGAACGCUGGCGGCAUGCUUUACACAUGCAAGUCGAACGGUAACAGGCCUUCGGGCGCUGACGAGUGGCGAACGGGUGAGUAAUGCAUCGGAACGUGCCCAGUCGUGGGGGAUAACGCAGCGAAAGCUGUGCUAAUACCGCAUACGAUCUGCGGAUGAAAGCGGGGGACCUUCGGGCCUCGCGCGAUUGGAGCGGCCGAUGUCAGAUUAGGUAGUUGGUGGGGUAAAGGCUCACCAAGGCAACGAUCUGUAGCUGGUCUGAGAGGACGAGCAGCCACAGUGGGACUGAGAGACGGCCCAGACUCCUACGGGAGGCAGCAGUGGGGAAUGUUGGACAAUGGGCGCAAGCCUGAUCCAGCAAUGCCGCGUGCAGGAAGAAGGCCUUCGGGUUGUAAACUGCUUUUGUACGGAGCGAAAAGGCACCCUCUAAUACAGGGGGCUCAUGACGGUACCGUAAGAAUAAGCACCGGCUAACUACGUGCCAGCCGCCGCGGUAAGAC
rnacentral:rRNA from 1 species